GCCUCGUUAGCUGUCAGUGGUAGAGCGUUACGACUUUAAUACUACGUCAGGGGUUCGAGUCCCCUACGGGGCU